rnacentral:rRNA from 1 species
CCUACGGGAGGCAGCAGUGAGGAAUAUUGGUCAAUGGGCGAGAGCCUGAACCAGCCAAGUAGCGUGAAGGAUGACGGCCCUAUGGGUUGUAAACUUCUUUUAUAAGGGAAUAAAAUGUUUCACGUGUGGGAUUUUGGAUGUACCAUAUGAAUAAGGAUCGGCUAACUCCGUGCCAAGAGCCGCGGUAAUACGGAGGAUCCGGGCGUUAACCGGAUUUAAUGGGUUUAAAGGGAGGGGAGGUGGCGUGUUAAGUCAGUUGUGAAAGUGUGCGGCUCAACCGUAAAUUUGCCGUUGAAACUGGCAGUCUUGAGUGCAGGAGAGGUAGGCGGAAUUCGUGGUGUAGCGGUGAAAUGCUUAGAUAUCACGAAGAACUCCGAUUGCGAAGGCAGCACACUGGCCUGCAACUGACACUGAGGCUCGAAAGUGUGGGUAUCAAACAGGAUUAGAUACCCCUGUAGUC